rnacentral:rRNA from 1 species
AGAGUUUGAUCCUGGCUCAGGAUGAACGCUGGCGGCGUGCCUAAUACAUGCAAGUCGAGCGAACAGAUGAGGAGCUUGCUCCUCUGACGUUAGCGGCGGACGGGUGAGUAACACGUGGAUAACCUACCUAUAAGACUGGGAUAACUUCGGGAAACCGGAGCUAAUACCGGAUAAUAUAUUGAACCGCAUGGUUCAAUAGUGAAAGACGGUUUUGCUGUCACUUAUAGAUGGAUCCGCGCCGCAUUAGCUAGUUGGUAAGGUAACGGCUUACCAAGGCAACGAUGCGUAGCCGACCUGAGAGGGUGAUCGGCCACACUGGAACUGAGACACGGCCCAGACUCCUACGGGAGGCUGCAGUAGGGAAUCUUCGGCAAUGGGGGCAACCCUGACCGAGCAACGCCGCGUGAGUGAAGAAGGUUUUCGGAUCGUAAAGCUCUGUUGUAAGAGAAGAACGAGUGUGAGAGUGGAAAGUUCACGCUGUGACGGUAUCUUACCAGAAAGGGACGGCUAACUACGUGCCAGCAGCCGCGGUAAUACGUAGGUCCCGAGCGUUAUCCGGAUUUAUUGGGCGUAAAGCGAGCGCAGGCGGUUAGAUAAGUCUGAAGUUAAAGGCUGUGGCUUAACCAUGAAGUGCAUCGGAAACUGGGAAACUUGAGUGCAGAAGAGGACAGUGGAACUCCAUGUGUAGCGGUGAAAUGCGUAGAUAUAUGGAAGAACACCAAUGGCGAAGGCAGGUCUCUGGGCCGUUACUGACGCUGAGGAGCGAAAGCGUGGGGAGCGAACAGGAUUAGAUACCCUGGUAGUCCACGCCGUAAACGGUGGAUGCUGGAUGUGGGGCCCGUUCCACGGGUUCCGUGUCGGAGCUAACGCGUUAAGCAUCCCGCCUGGGGAGUACGACCGCAAGGUUGAAACUCAAAGGAAUUGACGGGGGCCCGCACAAGCGGUGGAGUAUGUGGUUUAAUUCGACGCAACGCGAAGAACCUUACCAGGUCUUGACAUUGAUGGACAGAACUAGAGAUGGUUUGUGCCUCUUUUGGGGUCGGUUCACAGGUGGUGCAUGGCUGUCGUCAGCUCGUGUCGUGAGAUGUUGGGUUAAGUCCCGCAACGAGCGCAACCCUUGUUCACUGUUGCCAGCACGUUAUGGUGGGGACUCAGUGGAGACCGCCGGGGUCAACUCGGAGGAAGGUGGGGAUGACGUCAAGUCAUCAUGCCCCUUAUGUCCAGGGCUUCACGCAUGCUACAAUGGCUGGUACAGAGAGUGGCGAGCCUGUGAGGGUGAGCGAAUCUCGGAAAGCCGGUCUCAGUUCGGAUUGGGGUCUGCAACUCGACCUCAUGAAGUCGGAGUCGCUAGUAAUCGCAGAUCAGCAACGCUGCGGUGAAUACGUUCCCGGGGCUUGUACACACCGCCCGUCAAGUCAUGAAAGUUGGUAACACCCGAAGCCGGUGGCCUAACCGUUGUGGGGGAGCCGUCGAAGGUGGGACUGGUGAUUAGGACUAAGUCGUAACAAGGUAACCAA